AAAAUCCCAUUAAAGCUGAGAAGGUUCCUUCCUGAGGUGAACAUGGCCAGAAAUAGUAAUCUUGGCUCUCUUUUCAAUUUGGCAUUGGGGACCAAUAAUGCAUGUUCUACUAAUGGAAAUUAUCUAAUUUCAUCCAAGUGCAGCUCCAGAGAGAGCUGGGCUGACGCACAAACAGUCAAUAUAACAACAUUCUUCUUGAAGAGCUGAACAAUAGGGCUUUGGUGGGACUGUGAUUAACAACGUCAGACCAAGAACAAACAGAAGGUGUAAAAAUAGGCAUCUGAGGAGCUGACACAACGGACUAUUUUUCAUCUGUAAGGCCAGAGGAGAAUGGCUUGUUAAAUUGUGUGCUCGGAGCACUUCAUCAGAUGCCGUGUGGAAGAACCAAAAAAAAUCCCAUUUCCCAUCUGGGUCUGAGUGUAUGAAGGAACUGCACAUGCCUUAUUAAUAUAAAUCAUGCUAGGAGCGUAAUUCCCAUUAGCAUCGAAAAGCCAUUUUUCAAUGAAAGACUCUUGCACCAGGAACACCUAAGGGGAAAUAACAAUGUUUGCUUCACUUGAAGAGAACAGUAAAAUACAGCAUGGGGACUGAGGAAGCAGAGAGCUGUUCCUUCUCUCCAACACUACAGGUUUGGGGUUUUGACACAACUAUCGGAGCCACUGCCUUUCCCACCCCUCCCAGAAGCUGUAUCCACAUGUGGUGCAGAGAAGAGUUGGGCAUUCAGAUGUGCCAGACCAAGGAGUGGGACCACGGGCAUGUGCUGGCUCCUGGUCCACAUGUUGUCCCAUGGGCAUGUGUUCCUUUUCACUCAGUCCCAGCUCUCAAGGAAAGGGAGCUCUGGCCUUGAAACUUUAGACAACAUUUCCAUCUCUGGUUAAGCAGGGAUGGUGACUUCACCACCUCUCUGGGCAGCCUGUGCCACUGCCUCACCGCUCUUCCUGAGAAGAAAUUUCUGCUGAUAUCCAACCAAAAAUGAUGGAACCCAUGGAAAUGGCUAAGAAUGGAGGGGAAGCUGGUGAGCUGGGUAAUGUCCAGCAUCCGAUGAGUGCGCAAAGCACAGAGAGGUGAUCCAAGAGAAGGAAACCCAGGAUACCUUCAGUGCACGGAAGGGAAAAGCCCUGUAGCUGAACCCAGCCCAGCAGCUGACCCUGAGGUUUGACGGUUCCAGGAUGAAUGAGUGCCUUGGGGAGCUCAGAAAUGAGACAACACAGUGAGAAGAGGACAGUGAGUGCAGACACUGUCAGUACCAAACCUUUGGAAUUAACUGCUGCAGGAUGGAUAGCCAGCAACUCUUGCUGAUGUGCUCUAGCAGAAGUAAAAUCAAAGUGCCCUUUUAUAAUUGUUUAGAUACAAAGUGAAGGGCAUCCAGCUCCCUGACACUAGGAUGCAGAAUGGUGUGUGAGAGGGACUGUGGGAAAUGACCUCCCCAUGCAUGGCCGUGCCCACUGACUGUGUUUCCAUCACACAAGGCACAGAGCAAGUGGACAGUGCCUAGGGAGAGGGCACAUACCCUUUGGGCAAAUGGUAUCCCAUUAGGGUUCUUUAAGAGCUGCAAUGGCACCGUUCUGCAGAGGUGUGCUCCUAACAAGGAAGGCAGUGUUCUAAAGCCCACCAGUGUUUAAGUCCACUGAGAGCAUGGAAGGAGGGCUGGAAGAAAACCAAUAAUUACUCUCAGAUAAAAUUAGUUUUACCAAGUGAUUUUCUUCUAGAAUCUUGGGUUUGUGUAUGGGCUGCCUGUGCUGUAGAUACACCUGCAUUCUGAUAGCUCUAUUUCCAGUGCUCCUGCAUUUCUGACUGCUGUUGGCAAGAAGCUGUAGAUUGUUUCUUACUCAGAGUUUUCUUACACGCACCUUAGUGUUUCCUCCUUCAAUUCUGGAUGUCCUCUAAGCAUUGCACCUUUAAGGUACUGCUACUGCAGGGGCCAUGGCAAAAGGCACUACUGCACAAUCCAGAUGAGUAUGGGGAAUUGAGGUGGAGUUACUCCAACGAAAAUUGGAAAAUGCUCUGCUCUAGGAAUGGCAAUUGCCCUGUUAAUGCAAGCUGGGUG